AGAAACAAGGCUUCCAGUCAAACUCAAUAUCCUGGAUCUUAGGCCCAUAAGGAGUUUCAAUCUCUAACUGAUCAGGAAGAGAAUAAGCAGCAUCACUUCAACUAGAACUCUGGCAAAUGAUAUUUUUUCAUAAUGUGCAGUAAAUUUAUCAGUGUAUAAUGGUUUGCCAAUUGCACUGGCCAUCUUGCUCAGGACCUUAGUAGACCAAUAUCCCACUGGAAGGCCAGGGAAUCGAAUCCAAAUAGGAACACUGUUGAGAACAUCACUCUGAAAAGUGAAAUCAACUUCCCAGGGUUUUAGAACCUUUUUUUAAAUUUUUUUCUGAGGGAUUAAGCAGGGUUUGGAAUGUUAGCCAUUAAUGGAGGUGGAAAGAAAAAAAAAUCCUAAUUUUUAGAGAGAGAAA
rnacentral:lncRNA from 1 species